UACGGAGGGUGCAAGCGUUAUCCGGAUUCACUGGGUUUAAAGGGUGCGUAGGCGGGCAGGUAAGUCAGUGGUGAAAUCCUAGAGCUCAACUCUAGAACUGCCAUUGAUACUAUCUGUCUUGAAUAUUGUGGAGGUAAGCGGAAUGUGUCAUGUAGCGGUGAAAUGCUUAGAGAUGUCAUAGAACACCGAUUGCGAAGGCAGCUCACAAAACUGUAACUGACACUGAGGCUCGAAAGUGCGGGGAUCAAACAGGAUUAGAAACCCGGGUAGU
rnacentral:rRNA from 1 species